rnacentral:lncRNA from 1 species
AUGCGCCGCCUCGAGCCGCAGUGGAGGGAGCUGGGGGCAGGGCAGGGAAUAACUGCCGUUCACGCGGCUAAACGUUGGCAGCUUGGGGCGUCGGGCGGGUCACCAGAACAGGGCUCACGCGCGUGCGCCCUUGUGGGCGGUGCGAGAGGGUGGGCGUGUGUGAGGCGGGGUCAGAUUAGGGGAGGGCCGGACUGGUCGUCGCUCCUCCCCCUCCACCCGCUCUGCCCCGCCUGGGCCGUGUGGGCCGGGCAGCCAUUUUGGGAAGAGCUUUGUUAUGGUUGUGGGCUCUACACCUCUGCCGGAUCAGGAAGCUGGGGACGCACCCUCAGACGCCGCGACUGGUCCCUAGCUGUAGCCCCGCCGCUGCCCGUGAUAGAUUCCUGUGGUCUUUAAAAUGAUUGAAUAACGAUGGACAUGAAUGCAAAGUGACUUCUCUACUGAAGCAGAAGAUUCUCAUUGCCUUGCAUUAACUCGGUUUAGUCUUCAAGAAGGGGCAGAAGGAGUGAAAUACAGAAAACUGAAGAGAAGAAAACCUCACUUUGGAACUUUCUCCAUGACUGUUCCUUAAGCCCUUUCUACUUGUUUUAAUUUUGCUGUGAAUUUAUAAAUAGUGAAGACCAAAGAAAUAGAAACAUUUGAGAGCUUUAUACUAAGAAAUUUGCCUUGAGAGCUGCUAUUCUUAGGAGGGGAAAGCAUAUCAAGUUCCUGUCUGAUUUUUUGUUUGUUUUAAACAGGUUUCUUAUGUCCUCAGAUUUUGAAGGAUAAGUCAAAUAUAAAUACAUAGCUACACAUUAUUUUUAGCAACUGUGUAAGAAUAAUGAGAUUUGUAAAUUAAGGGCUUUGUAAUGUGGAUGUUUUGCUACUAGAGUUGAUUACUCAGAAGAUCUUUUAUAGCUCUUCAGUUUUUUAUUUUUGAUCUAUCACUUCAAUGACAUUAUUUGCCCAAACAAAAGUCCAUCUGUCUUUCUAAGCUAUGACCUUUUUGUGAACAGUGUUUGCAUUCAAUGUGCAAAUGUCCAUGUAUUAUCUAUUUAAGCAACAUCAUAGGGCCAUCACUCAAGGAAGUUGAAUGAGGUGAACGUUGAUAUAGCUCUUUCCCCUUCCCCCUAUUUUUUAAAUGUAACAAAUACUUUUUAUGUUCCCCUCCCCCUUCCCCUUUCCCCUUUCCCCUUUUGGAAACGUGUCAGGAUCUAGAUAGUUUAAGAUGAGCAAUUGAGGGGACUGAGAAAUUGAUCCACACAGAGCCUGGCUUCUUUGUGCUUCAUCAUAAGGUGUGCUGCUGGCCAGCCUAAUUUUAAGUACCCUUUUAACAAGAGAACCUCGUGGAAAUCCAGCCGGCAGACUCAAGGAGUUCAGGAAACAGGACCACAGAGGUUACGCUCUGGGGUGAGUAUUCUCCUAUGUCUAACUUGGAAGAAGACUGUGUAUGUAUAUGUAUCAUGGAAAAUAUCUACUGCUUUCUUACAUAUUAUACUUUGGAGACUAUCAGUGGGGUGGUUUGGAGACACCAACAGAUGGAUCUCUCAGGAAAACUGAUUCUAACUGAUGUUUUGAAGAAAUUAAUGUGAACUAAAUAGAAAAACUCUUGAGAGGUUGUAUCCUCCAUCUCUAGGAAGAUCUUUUCUACUGCUUUUGCCUGAAGUUACCUGAAGCAGGUUAAUCUUUUUUCAUAAGUAUCUGUAGUUUUAAGUAGUUGUUUAUUCUUAAGGUUCUUCUGCUAUAACACAAGAAUUCAUUAGCUUCUGUCAUAUAACUUCCAGGUCUGUGACACACUUUUCUGUUUGUGUUUUUCAUGGUUAUAUAUUCACAGACUGUUGUUUUUGUUUAUAACUUCUCUGAUGUAUGGGGCCUGAUGAGUACUCUAGAAAGGCUCAGAGAGCAAGUCUUUCUAUAAACGGGGGACCUUAAAGUAAUCACAGACUCUUUACUUGAUAUCAGGUUCUU